rnacentral:tRNA from 1 species
GCCCCCGUAGCUCAGGUGGAUAGAGCACCGGAUUCCUAAUCCGGGCGCCGCAGGUUCGAGUCCUGCCGGGGGCACCA